ACUAUCCGAAUGAGUGACAAAUGCGAACUAAACUCUUGUCGGUUAUUGCACAUAAGUUGGUUUCAACCGUUAAAAGUAUGUGGAAGGGAUACCAGAAAUGACUGAGGCGAUCCAAAACCUGAAGAUGAGGGUUUACUGUAAUUGGACCAUAUUGAAUCCAUUUAGGAGGUGAACAGCCCCCAAACUCAUCUUGAUGGCACCAAAGUCAAAGUCUGGGCUAAUGGGACAGUUGAGGCAACAUGCUCUUAGCCUUGAAUAGUCUCGACUGCUGGAUACUCAGUGUCCUGACAAUGUGUUAGUGCUGACAGGAAAGGAUCUUCCACCACUGUAGUAGACUCACAGGCCUUUUGGGGGCCGUGAGCUAAAUUUGCCUGCCACCGUGCAGCCCACCCCAACACUUGACGUAGUGAUAUAAAUUGUUGUGUUCAAUGUGUAAUUGUAGAGAACAACACACUACUGCAACAGUCAC